rnacentral:ncRNA from 19 species
AUAGUGUCGGACGCAGCUGGUUCGGUGGCCUGUGAGAUGGGUUGCCGAGGCAAGAGGGAAUCCGGUGCGAGACCGGGACUGCCCCGCAGCGGUGAGUGGGAACGACCGCCGUCACAUCAGCACUGGGCGUGAGCCUGGGAAGCGACGGCCAGUAGGAAAGCGAUACACGCCCGCGAGUCCGAAGACCUGCCAGCGCGCCGCAUACGACC